GGUUAAGCGACUAAGCGUACACGGUGGAUGCCCUGGCAGUCAGAGGCGAUGAAGGACGUGCUAAUCUGCGAUAAGCGCCGGUAAGGUGAUAUGAACCGUUAUAACCGGCGAUUUCCGAAUGGGGAAACCCAGUGUGACUCGUCACACUAUCAUUAACUGAAUCCAUAGGUUAAUGAGGCGAACCGGGGGAACGUGAAACAUCUAAGUACCCCGAGGAAAAGAAAUCAACCGAGAUUCCCCCACGUAGCGGCGAGCGAACGGGGAGGAGCCCAGAGCCUGAAUCAGCAUGUGUGUUAGUGGAAGCGUCUGGAAAGGCGCGCGAUACAGGGUGACAGCCCCGUACACAAAAGCGCAUGUGCUGUGAGCUCGAUGAGUAGGGCGGGACACGUGGUAUCCUGUCUGAAUAUGGGGGGACCAUCCUCCAAGGCUAAAUACUCCUGACUGACCGAUAGUGAACCAGUACCGUGAGGGAAAGGCGAAAAGAACCCCGGCGAGGGGAGUGAAAAAGAACCUGAAACCGUGUACGUACAAGCAGUGGGAGCACCCUUUGGGGUGUGACUGCGUACCUUUUGUAUAAUGGGUCAGCGACUUAUAUUCUGUAGCAAGGUUAACCGUAUAGGGGAGCCGUAGGGAAACCGAGUCUUAACCGGGCGUUAAGUUGCAGGGUAUAGACCCGAAACCCGGUGAUCUAGCCAUGGGCAGGUUGAAGGUUGGGUAACACUAACUGGAGGACCGAACCGACUAAUGUUGAAAAAUUAGCGGAUGACCUGUGGCUGGGGGUGAAAGGCCAAUCAAACCGGGAGAUAGCUGGUUCUCCCCGAAAGCUAUUUAGGUAGCGCCUCGUGAAUUCAUCUCCGGGGGUAGAGCACUGUUUCGGCUAGGGGGCCAUCCCGGCUUACCAACCCGAUGCAAACUGCGAAUACCGGAGAAUGUUAUCACGGGAGACACACGGCGGGUGCUAACGUCCGUCGUGAAGAGGGAAACAACCCAGACCGCCAGCUAAGGUCCCAAAGUCAUGGUUAAGUGGGAAACGAUGUGGGAAGGCCCAGACAGCCAGGAUGUUGGCUUAGAAGCAGCCAUCAUUUAAAGAAAGCGUAAUAGCUCACUGGUCGAGUCGGCCUGCGCGGAAGAUGUAACGGGGCUAAACCAUGCACCGAAGCUGCGGCAGCGAACGUAUCACCCAAGACAACUUUACGGAGUUGACGAUUGACGGAGCGAAGCGACGUCAAAGCGUUCAUUAAAGUCGAGUUGGCUUAGGGAUACGUUCGUUGGGUAGGGGAGCGUUCUGUAAGCCUGUGAAGGUGUGUCGUGAGGCAUGCUGGAGGUAUCAGAAGUGCGAAUGCUGACAUAAGUAACGAUAAAGCGGGUGAAAAGCCCGCUCGCCGGAAGACCAAGGGUUCCUGUCCAACGUUAAUCGGGGCAGGGUGAGUCGACCCCUAAGGCGAGGCCGAAAGGCGUAGUCGAUGGGAAACGGGUUAAUAUUCCCGUACUUGGUGUUACUGCGAAGGGGGGACGGAGAAGGCUAUGUUGGCCGGGCGACGGUUGUCCCGGUUUAAGCGUGUAGGUGUGUGUUCCAGGUAAAUCCGGUUCACUUUAACACUGAGGCGUGACGACGAGGCACUACGGUGCUGAAGCAACAAAUGCCCUGCUUCCAGGAAAAGCCUCUAAGCAUCAGGUAACAUCAAAUCGUACCCCAAACCGACACAGGUGGUCAGGUAGAGAAUACCAAGGCGCUUGAGAGAACUCGGGUGAAGGAACUAGGCAAAAUGGUGCCGUAACUUCGGGAGAAGGCACGCUGACACGUAGGUGAAGUGAUUUACUCAUGGAGCUGAAGUCAGUCGAAGAUACCAGCUGGCUGCAACUGUUUAUUAAAAACACAGCACUGUGCAAACACGAAAGUGGACGUAUACGGUGUGACGCCUGCCCGGUGCCGGAAGGUUAAUUGAUGGGGUCAGCGCAAGCGAAGCUCCUGAUCGAAGCCCCGGUAAACGGCGGCCGUAACUAUAACGGUCCUAAGGUAGCGAAAUUCCUUGUCGGGUAAGUUCCGACCUGCACGAAUGGCGUAAUGAUGGCCAGGCUGUCUCCACCCGAGACUCAGUGAAAUUGAACUCGCUGUGAAGAUGCAGUGUACCCGCGGCAAGACGGAAAGACCCCGUGAACCUUUACUAUAGCUUGACACUGAACAUUGAGCCUUGAUGUGUAGGAUAGGUGGGAGGCUUUGAAGUGUGGACGCCAGUCUGCAUGGAGCCGACCUUGAAAUACCACCCUUUAAUGUUUGAUGUUCUAACGUGGACCCGUUACCCGGGUUGCGGACAGUGUCUGGUGGGUAGUUUGACUGGGGCGGUCUCCUCCUAAAGAGUAACGGAGGAGCACGAAGGUUGGCUAAUCCUGGUCGGACAUCAGGAGGUUAGUGCAAUGGCAUAAGCCAGCUUGACUGCGAGCGUGACGGCGCGAGCAGGUGCGAAAGCAGGUCAUAGUGAUCCGGUGGUUCUGAAUGGAAGGGCCAUCGCUCAACGGAUAAAAGGUACUCCGGGGAUAACAGGCUGAUACCGCCCAAGAGUUCAUAUCGACGGCGGUGUUUGGCACCUCGAUGUCGGCUCAUCACAUCCUGGGGCUGAAGUAGGUCCCAAGGGUAUGGCUGUUCGCCAUUUAAAGUGGUACGCGAGCUGGGUUUAGAACGUCGUGAGACAGUUCGGUCCCUAUCUGCCGUGGGCGCUGGAGAACUGAGGGGGGCUGCUCCUAGUACGAGAGGACCGGAGUGGACGCAUCACUGGUGUUCGGGUUGUCAUGCCAAUGGCACUGCCCGGUAGCUAAAUGCGGAAGAGAUAAGUGCUGAAAGCAUCUAAGCACGAAACUUGCCCCGAGAUGAGUUCUCCCUGAGACUUAGAGUCUCCUGAAGGAACGUUGAAGACGACGACGUUGAUAGGCCGGGUGUGUAAGCGCAGCGAUGCGUUGAGCUAACCGGUACUAAUGAACCGUGAGGCUUAACCUU
rnacentral:rRNA from 1 species